rnacentral:misc_RNA from 1 species
GAGUACCGGGUCUUCGGGCCCCACUCCCACCCUGUGUAUACUACCUUAUCUUCGUUGCCUUGGCGGGAUCGAUCCCGCGGCCCACGUGGCCGCGCGGGCCGCCCGCCAGGGGGACCACACCAAAACUCUGUCAACAGUGACGUCUGAGAAAACACAUAAUAAGUUAAAACUUUCAACAACGGAUCUCUUGGUUCU